GGAUGUGAGGGCUAUCUGACUGCAACAUCUGUCACCCCAUUGAUCACCAGGGUUGAUUCGGUUGAUUUGGCUGGCUAGGAGGGUGUCCCCUUCCUCCCUCACCUCUCCAUGUGGGUCCCUGCCUAAGCUGCAGGCUAGAUAAAAAGAGAACAGUCUUCCCCAAUGGAGAUGAACUGGUCUUCAGUUGAGGGUAUAGGAGUAUCUGUGCUCCCCUGCUAGAACCAACAAACAAGCUUCAAGGCAUAGACAGGCAGGCAUAGGGGAAUACAUGUUCACUAAAAGUUAAUGUUAACUAAAAGUUAAUGCUUU
rnacentral:snRNA from 1 species